UGAACUGAGCUUGCGCACUGAGGCCACUCAGGGGCUGGUGCUGUGGAGUGGCAAAGCCACAGAGCGCACUGACUAUGUGGCUCUGGCCAUUGUGGAUGGGUGCCUGCAGCUGAGCUAUGACUUGGGCUCCCAGCCUGUGGUGCUGCGCUCCACUGUGAAGGUCAACACCAAUCGCUGGCUGCGGGUCAGGGCUCACAGGGAGCAGCGGGAAGGGUCCCUGCAGGUGGGCAACGAAGCCCCUGUGACUGGCUCCUCCCCGCUGGGCGCCACACAGCUGGACACAGAUGGAGCCUUGUGGCUCGGGGGGCUUCGGAAGCUGCCCGUGGGCCAGGCCCUACCCAAGGCCUAUAGCACAGGCUUCGUGGGCUGCCUGCGGGACGUGGUGGUGAGUGGGCGCCCGCUGCACCUGCUGGAAGAUGCAGUCGCCAGGCCGGAGCUGCGGCCCUGCCCCACCCCCUGACCGGCACCCAAGCCCCAGCCCACCCUGCUGCAGCUGUGCUGCAGAGGCCUGGUGUCCAGGCCCCACAGUGCUGUAUGGCAGCCUCAGGACUUGCCCCUCUGCCACAGCCCUGUGCACUGUGUCCCCAGCGUGUUCACCUGUCGGUCCCUGGCAUUCCUGACCCCGUUGGCAGACUCCACUCCCCAUGUUACCAUGUUUUGUCAGAUGAGGUCCAUGUCCCAGAGCAGGGGAGCAGCUGGAUUGGAUGGGGCCUUCCUCCGAGCAAGCCCCUGGGGCCUUCUGGUUCCCACUUACACUGCUCUUGCCUGUGUGUCCUGUGGGCGAGCCUCAUCUGGGCUAGCCUGGAGCCCGGGGCCCUCCGUGCCAGUACUGUGACUUAGAAACAAUGUUCCUUUUGGGCCCAGGCCCCACGCCCCCAGUGUGUCUGCUAGCCCCAGGGUGCCGGGGAACAGAGUCCAUGGCCAGGCUCCCCUAGGGCACCCUCACUCGGCCUGGCCCACCCACCCUGGAUGUAGCCCCCUUCCUACACUCAGGCCCAGUGAGGAGCUCCUCAAGGAGGGGUCCGCUGUGUGGCGUGGGCUCCUUCCCUCAGGGGUGGGUGUCCGGGCCUGACACCCACCGCGUUUUCAAACAUUGGUCUCGUUUGAUGCCCGAAGGUCACACCUUUUGUCCUGCCCUGACCCCAGAGCAGUACAGGUUGCAGACCAGGUCCACAUGAGGGAGGCUGUGCUCAUCUGAGAGCGGACAGCCUGGUGCCUGACCAAAGCCGAAGGCCAGGGGCCGGUGUGGCAGAGAUGGCAGUGGAGCUGGAAACGCCUUAAACCAUAGCGUCCAUCCUCACCACUCCCCGCCCUCUGUGCAAACUGUUCAAGGGCCAUCCAAGGCUGCUAGGGUGGCAGCCUGGCCCCCCUGCAGGGGAGGGGGAGGCAGGAGGGAGCGUCUGGGGUCUUGUUACUAACUCCAGUAUAAGUCCAUCAAACACCGUGAAAUAAAGACUGUAAACAAAGA
rnacentral:lncRNA from 1 species